rnacentral:sRNA from 1 species
UAGUUACCACCCAUAAAUACCAAAUUGGAUAAGAAUGGUCCAUUCCACCCCAAAAUCUCAGUUUGAUUAGAUCCUUUUUUCCUCUGUCCAAGUUGCCCCAUUUGGAGGGAAAUAGAGGUUUUUUA